UACGUAGGGUGCGAGCGUUGUCCGGAAUUAUUGGGCGUAAAGGGCUCGUAGGCGGUUUGUCGCGUCGGGAGUGAAAACCUCGGGCUUAACUCGGGGCUUGCUUUCGAUACGGGCAGACUAAAGGUAUGCAGGGGAGAACGGAAUUCCUGGUGUAGCGGUGAAAUGCGCAGAUAUCAGGAGGAACACCGGUGGCGAAGGCGGUUCUCUGGGCAUGAUCUGACGCUGAGGAGCGAAAGUGUGGGGAGCGAACAGG
rnacentral:rRNA from 1 species